rnacentral:rRNA from 1 species
AACUGCGAAUACCGGAGAAUGUUAUCACGGGAGACACACGGCGGGUGCUAACGUCCGUCGUGAAGAGGGAAACAACCCAGACCGCCAGCUAAGGUCCCAAAGUCAUGGUUAAGUGGGAAACGAUGUGGGAAGGCCCAGACAGCCAGGAUGUUGGCUUAGAAGCAGCCAUCAUUUAAAGAAAGCGUAAUAGCUCACUGGUCGAGUCGGCCUGCGCGGAAGAUGUAACGGGGCUAAACCAUGCACCGAAGCUGCGGCAGCGACGCUUAUGCGUUGUUGGGUAGGGGAGCGUUCUGUAAGCCUGCGAAGGUGUGCUGUGAGGCAUGCUGGAGGUAUCAGAAGUGCGAAUGCUGACAUAAGUAACGAUAAAGCGGGUGAAAAGCCCGCUCGCCGGAAGACCAAGGGUUCCUGUCCAACGUUAAUCGGGGCAGGGUGAGUCGACCCCUAAGGCGAGGCCGAAAGGCGUAGUCGAUGGGAAACAGGUUAAUAUUCCUGUACUUGGUGUUACUGCGAAGGGGGGACGGAGAAGGCUAUGUUGGCCGGGCGACGGUUGUCCCGGUUUAAGCGUGUAGGCUGGUUUUCCAGGCAAAUCCGGAAAAUCAAGGCUGAGGCGUGAUGACGAGGCACUACGGUGCUGAAGCAACAAAUGCCCUGCUUCCAGGAAAAGCCUCUAAGCAUCAGGUAACAUCAAAUCGUACCCCAAACCGACACAGGUGGUCAGGUAGAGAAUACCAAGGCGCUUGAGAGAACUCGGGUGAAGGAACUAGGCAAAAUGGUGCCGUAACUUCGGGAGAAGGCACGCUGAUAUGUAGGUGAAGUCCCUUGCGGAUGGAGCUGAAAUCAGUCGAAGAUACCAGCUGGCUGCAACUGUUUAUUAAAAACACAGCACUGUGCAAACACGAAAGUGGACGUAUACGGUGUGACGCCUGCCCGGUGCCGGAAGGUUAAUUGAUGGGGUCAGCGCAAGCGAAGCUCUUGAUCGAAGCCCCGGUAAACGGCGGCCGUAACUAUAACGGUCCUAAGGUAGCGAAAUUCCUUGUCGGGUAAGUUCCGACCUGCACGAAUGGCGUAAUGAUGGCCAGGCUGUCUCCACCCGAGACUCAGUGAAAUUGAACUCGCUGUGAAGAUGCAGUGUACCCGCGGCAAGACGGAAAGACCCCGUGAACCUUUACUAUAGCUUGACACUGAACAUUGAGCCUUGAUGUGUAGGAUAGGUGGGAGGCUUUGAAGUGUGGACGCCAGUCUGCAUGGAGCCGGCCUUGAAAUACCACCCUUUAAUGUUUGAUGUUCUAACGUGGACCCGUGAUCCGGGUUGCGGACAGUGUCUGGUGGGUAGUUUGACUGGGGCGGUCUCCUCCUAAAGAGUAACGGAGGAGCACGAAGGUUGGCUAAUCCUGGUCGGACAUCAGGAGGUUAGUGCAAUGGCAUAAGCCAGCUUGACUGCGAGCGUGACGGCGCGAGCAGGUGCGAAAGCAGGUCAUAGUGAUCCGGUGGUUCUGAAUGGAAGGGCCAUCGCUCAACGGAUAAAAGGUACUCCGGGGAUAACAGGCUGAUACCGCCCAAGAGUUCAUAUCGACGGCGGUGUUUGGCACCUCGAUGUCGGCUCAUCACAUCCUGGGGCUGAAGUAGGUCCCAAGGGUAUGGCUGUUCGCCAUUUAAAGUGGUACGCGAGCUGGGUUUAGAACGUCGUGAGACAGUUCGGUCCCUAUCUGCCGUGGGCGCUGGAGAACUGAGGGGGGCUGCUCCUAGUACGAGAGGACCGGAGUGGACGCAUCACUGGUGUUCGGGUUGUCAUGCCAAUGGCACUGCCCGGUAGCUAAAUGCGGAAGAGAUAAGUGCUGAAAGCAUCUAAGCACGAAACUUGCCCCGAGAUGAGUUCUCCCUGACCCUUUAAGGGUCCUGAAGGAACGUUGAAGACGACGACGUUGAUAGGCCGGGUGUGUAAGCGCAGCGAUGCGUUGAGCUAACCGGUACUAAUGAACCGUGAGGCUUAACCUUACAACGCCGAAG